UACGUAGGGUGCGAGCGUUGUCCGGAAUUAUUGGGCGUAAAGAGCUCGUAGGCGGUCUGUCGCGUCUGCUGUGAAAACUCAGGGCUUAACCCCGAGCUUGCAGUGGGUACGGGCAGACUAGAGUGCGGUAGGGGAGACUGGAAUUCCUGGUGUAGCGGUGAAAUGCGCAGAUAUCAGGAGGAACACCGGUGGCGAAGGCGGGUCUCUGGGCCGUAACUGACGCUGAGGAGCGAAAGCAUGGGGAGCGAACAGG
rnacentral:rRNA from 1 species